rnacentral:rRNA from 1 species
AUUGAACGCUGGCGGCGUGCUUAACACAUGCAAGUCGAUCGGUAACGCGGGGGCAACCCUGGCGACGAGAGGCGGCCGGGUGAGGAACGCUUGGGAAUCUGCCCUUCAGCGGGGGACAACCCGGGGAAACCCGGGCUAAUACCGCAUACGCCCCACGGAGGAAAGCCGGCGACCGCAAGGCCUGGCACUGACGGAUGAGCCCAAGUCGGAUUAGCUAGUUGGCGGGGUAACGGCCCACCAAGGCGACGAUCCGUAUCUGGUCUGAGAGGACGAUCAGCCACACUGGGACUGAGACACGGCCCAGACUCCUACGGGAGGCAGCAGUGGGGAAUAUUGGACAAUGGGCGAAAGCCUGAUCCAGCGACGCCGCGUGGGUGAAGAAGGCCUGCGGGUUGUAAAGCCCUUUCGGUAGGGACGAAAGCCCUCGACCUAACACGUCGGGGGGUUGACUUAACCUACAAAAGAAGCACCGGCUAACUCUGUGCCAGCAGCCGCAGUAAGAC